ACCAGGGUGCGCGUGCCUGCCUCGCUCACAUACGUAAACACACGCGUGCGCAGACUCGCGUGUGCCGGUAGGCCUGCUCUGUGCCCACUGUUGGGCGGGAAAGGCUAAGCAGCGGCUGGCUCAGGCAAGGAGGCGGCGGAGCCCGCGCCGGGAAGCCCGCUGCCGAGAGGGCCCCGGUCUCGUUUGGGUUCUGGUGUUGCUGUCAUUGUGAAAGAAUUGGCUGAAUAAAAGAACCUGGCAUUCAUGUGAACUCCAACAGAAAUACUUAAGGUUAUUAGCACCUUGAUGGAAAGAGCUCGCACCUCUCCCAUCACAGCAAUUGGCGUCUCUCCUGUUGCCUCAGCGACUCGAUGUUCA